GCCCUUCCGUCUGUUAUACAUCGUUUUGCGCGGUAGACAUUUAAAAGGUAUUUGCUAAGUGGUUCCAUUUUUCUCUGGAGUGGCGUAUACAAUUCGUCCUUAAUUUAUCGUAUCGUAAUUGGUCGUGCCGUGCAGGUUUUACUUACGAUAUGACAGAACCGUUUAUCGUACUACUAGGUUACAGUUGCGCUAUACAUUUCCAUCGACCGUCGUCACCUUCCAGGUCAAGUUACCAUAUGAACACCGGGCUUCUGCAAGGAUGUUUUUCGAUGCGAGUUUUGAGUUCCUGUACUAAACGGUGAAGCUUCGCGUGUGAUGAAGAUGCUCUCUUGAGAACCAGACACUGCAGAUAAAUCGAGAAAGGUAUGGCUUAUGUGAAGAUGGCCAGAGCGCCCAUUUAUACCGAUAUCAGCUCAGGAGGACCAUUAGAAAUGAUAAUCUACAAUAAGGGAAUGCUUCCCCCAGCGCUGGUGUGAAAAUGAAGUGAAAUAGAGACUUGUCCAAGCUUCUAUAAAAGACAAAGCCUAGUCAUCCAUAGAGACCGCUAAAAUUGAGAACGAGACUAAGUUAUUCUCUAAAAGAGUCGUUGGCUGGACUGCCAGCAACUUUUCAAGUUCAGCACGAAGAAUUCGUCGAUGGCGACAGCAGAAAAUAUUAGCGCUCCUAUUCCAUCGAAAAUAUGGUUCUGAUAUCCUGCUAUUCAGCAAAUUUGAACCAGGGAAAACCAUUUUCGCAAUAUUACUGGCGCAGAUGAGGAGAGAGUGCUAGUUAAAAUUCGAUAUUGGGCUGGCUAUGGCACAUUAAAAGUUUAUUUAUAUAUAUUACCAGUUGUAUACAAUCAGCAUUCAAAUAGCUAAUAUGAAUGUGCCUCUUAUUUUCGUAUUGUUACCUAACAAUCGGCAAGCAACUUGUGAUCGGUUGUUUUCUCAUUACUCUUAUCCCUGACGUUGAGCCUAAAAUGUUUAUGAAUAGUCUUAUUUCAAUAUUACCUAACAUAAGUGGUAACGGAUUGUUUAUUUAAUUUUCCUCAAUUGACAGAUAACUUGUCGAGCUAGAUCAUAAAGUCCAAUAUAAUAACAGAUGAAGUAGUCUCAAUGUAAAGUGCUUUACUGCAAUUCUUUGUUUACAUACGAAGAACUAACUUUAAAGUUUUAGUAAAUUCUAUUUGUAUUGACAUGCAUUAAUGUUUUAAGUUUUCAUUGGCCCCCAAAUAAUAGUUUCUCUUAAUAUU